AUAAUGGAGAUGUGUGUGAGGUAGGAUGAAGAAUGUGAUAGCGACUUGCGGGCGACGGAGGAGGAGAAGGGAGAAGUGGGAAAGGAAAGAAAAGAAGAAAAGAGAGAAUAUGAGUGAGAGAAUAAGAGUAUUUAGUAUUAGAUGUAUGCCCUAGAAGCUAACCAAGCCGACACAUGUAUUCUUUUUAGAACAUAAAUUUAAAUUUGAUUUAAAAUUAUUCUGAAUGAAUUUGGGUUAUUAUUUUUAUUCAUGUUGUGUAUAUGUCCAUGAAUCAUCUAAGAAAUUAAUAAGACGAUGACAUAUAUUCUCAAGAGUUGAGAAUUUGAGACAUGUAUCAUUGGUGAUUAAUUCCUAAAUGCUCCCGAUCGUUGGAUCAUUACGGAGACAGUGAUUGAUCCUGUGAGAUUAAUACAUA
rnacentral:lncRNA from 1 species